rnacentral:rRNA from 1 species
GACGAACGCUGGCGGCGUGCUUAACACAUGCAAGUCGAACGGAAAGGCCCUGCUUGCAGGGUACUCGAGUGGCGAACGGGUGAGUAACACGUGGGUGAUCUGCCCUGCACUUCGGGAUAAGCCUGGGAAACUGGGUCUAAUACCGGAUAGGAGCCAUUUUUAGUGUGAUGGUUGGAAAGUUUUUUCGGUGUAGGAUGAGCUCGCGGCCUAUCAGCUUGUUGGUGGGGUAAUGGCCUACCAAGGCGGCGACGGGUAGCCGGCCUGAGAGGGUGGACGGCCACAUUGGGACGGAGAUACGGCCCAGACUCCUACGGGAGGCAGCAGGGGGGAAUAUUGCACAAGGGGCGCAAGCCUGAUGCAGCGACGCCGCGUGGGGGAUGACGGCCUUCGGGUUGUAAACUCCUUUCGCUAGGGACGAAGCUUUUUGUGACGGUACCUAGAUAAGAAGCACCGGCUAACUACGUG